rnacentral:rRNA from 1 species
UGUAUGAAGAAGGCCUUCGGGUUGUAAAGUACUUUCGGUAAUGAGGAAGGUGGUGUAUCUAAUAGGUGCAUCAAUUGACGUUAAUUACAGAAGAAGCACCGGCUAACUCCGUGCCAGCAGCCGCGGUAAUACGGAGGGUGCGAGCGUUAAUCGGAAUGACUGGGCGUAAAGGGCAUGUAGGCGGAUAAUUAAGUUAGGUGUGAAAGCCCUGGGCUCAACCUAGGAAUUGCACUUAAAACUGGUUAACUAGAGUAUUGUAGAGGAAGGUAGAAUUCCACGUGUAGCGGUGAAAUGCGUAGAGAUGUGGAGGAAUACCGGUGGCGAAGGCGGCCUUCUGGACAGAUACUGACGCUGAGAUGCGAAAGCGUGGGGAGCAAACAGGAUUAGAUACCCUGGUAGUCCACGCUGUAAACGAUGUCGAUUUGGAGUUUGUUGCCCUGAGUGAUGGGCUCCGAAGCUAACGCGAUAAAUCGACCGCCUGGGGAGUACGGCCGCAAGGUUAAAACUCAAAUGAAUUGACGGGGGCCCGCACAAGCGGUGGAGCAUGUGGUUUAAUUCGAUGCAACGCGAAGAACCUUACCUGGUCUUGACAUCCACAGAAUCUUGCAGAGAUGCGAGAGUGCCUUCGGGAACUGUGAGACAGGUGCUGCAUGGCUGUCGUCAGCUCGUGUUGUGAAAUGUUGGGUUAAGUCCCGCAACGAGCGCAACCCUUAUCCUUUGUUGCCAGCGGUUUGGCCGGGAACUCAAAGGAGACUGCCGUUGAUAAAGCGGAGGAAGGUGGGGACGACGUCAAGUCAUCAUGGCCCUUACGACCAGGGCUACACACGUGCUACAAUGGCGUAUACAAAGGGAGGCGACCUCGCGAGAGCAAGCGGACCUCACAAAGUACGUCUAAGUCCGGAUUGGAGUCUGCAACUCGACUCCAUGAAGUCGGAAUCGCUAGUAAUCGUGAAUCAGAAUGUCACGGUGAAUACGUUCCCGGGCCUUGUACACACCGCCCGUCACACCAUGGGAGUGGGUUGCACCAGAAGUAGAUAGCUUAA